rnacentral:rRNA from 1 species
UACGGGGGGGGCAAGCGUUGUUCGGAAUUACUGGGCGUAAAGGGCUCGUAGGCGGCCAACUAAGUCAGACGUGAAAUCCCUCGGCUUAACCGGGGAACUGCGUCUGAUACUGGAUGGCUUGAGUUUGGGAGAGGGAUGCGGAAUUCCAGGUGUAGCGGUGAAAUGCGUAGAUAUCUGGAGGAACACCGGUGGCGAAGGCGGCAUCCUGGACCAACACUGACGCUGAGGUGCGAAAGCGUGGGGAGCGAACAGG